rfam:Oryza nivara chromosome 8, whole genome shotgun sequence.
AAUAGAUGACGCCGUUGACUUUUUCUCACAUGUUUGACCAUUCGUCUUAUUCAAAAAAUUUACGUAAUUAUAAUUUAUUUUGUUAUGAGUUGUUUUAUCACACAUAGUACUUUAAGUGUGAUUUAUAUCUUAUACACAUUUGCAUAAUAUUUUUGAACAAGACGAAUGGUCAAAUAUGUGAGAAAAAAUCAAUGACGUUAUCUAUU